AGCAAAAAGAGGAGGACUGGCAGCAGUUAGCUCAGGGCUAAUCUUCCUCAAAAAUAAAGCUAUUGAAGAUCCUAAAGAGAUUUUGUUACGUGGCUUAUAUCUAUGGAUAUCUCCUAUAACUAGAAAUUUAAACUGAUGAUUUUUUAAAAUAUUAAUUUAAAAAUAGGCACAUUCCACAUAUUUUUUAAUAAAAAAAUGACUCUAUGCCCCAAACGAAAAACGUACUGAGGACAGCGGCAUGGUUUUAUAGUUUUGCAGCUCUCUUUAAUAUCUAGCUCUUUAUAGGAUCCUCACAUGGGCCUCAAAGCUGCUUCUGCACAGUCAUCCUAUUGUGACAUGCUCUUUUGUGUUAAGCUCGUGAACACUUGCCUCUCACAGAUAUAUAUCUGGCAAAAGGACAACCUGAGAGCCACCCUUCGGGUAUUGGGGCACCCCAGUGGUGGACAGGCCACACUUUGAGAACUGAUGGAGUAAGGAUUAAAUGAGGAAAUAUUUGUAAAGUACUUAGAACAAUGCCUGGCACAUAUUUUCAUCAAGACGUGCUAGGGGUGGGCUUUAUAGUACAAGGGUGUUGGAUUUUUCUGCCUUCAAGGACCUCACAGGCUGAUGGGAGAGGUGUAUGUGUAACCACACCGCUGAAACGCAGUCUUUUAAGAGCAAUUUUACCGGCGAAGGUAGCAAUUUUAUGCGGGAACGCAGAGGAGGGUCCCUCACCCACGCGUGGGGGGUGAGAAGAGGGGAGGGGGUGCGCGUUCAGGAAAGUCUCUCCUGGGGGCAGGCGGGGGGUGUCUGAUGGGCAAGUGGAUUCAGCCCUGUCAAAAGGACAGGUGACUUGGGGCAAGAAGAUUCGAGAUGCUGAGAUCCAAACCCCGGCCUCGCCUUCUCUGUGAAGUGGCCUUUAUGCCACAAGGAGCCACUAAUUGACGUGGCUCGGCGGGCGGGGCAGCCCGGCGGCCUGGGGAGCAGAGGACCCCACGACCCUGCUGCCCCCCUGCGGGGCGCCUCUACUGGAGCGCAGGGCCCGGCGCCGCCAGGGGCCGCCGCCGCCGCUGCGAAUCGUCCAGACGCCAGCGCCCCCCGCCCCCGUCCCCGUCCCCCGGGCGAGCCGCGAGCGCUCGGGGCGGGAGGCGCAGAGGAGGAGCCAGGACCGCGCCGGGGAGGGGGCGCCGGCGGCC